rnacentral:sRNA from 1 species
CCGAACAGUCUAUUUUGCUAUUCACCAGUAAUAUUUCUGGUGCGUUUGUUUGUUUUUCAUCCAAAGCUUGACGUCUUACACUCAUUU